rnacentral:rRNA from 1 species
AACAGGAAGAAGCUUGCUUCUUUGCUGACGAGUGGCGGACGGGUGAGUAAUGUCUGGGAAACUGCCUGAUGGAGGGGGAUAACUACUGGAAACGGUAGCUAAUACCGCAUAACGUCGCAAGACCAAAGAGGGGGACCUUCGGGCCUCUUGCCAUCGGAUGUGCCCAGAUGGGAUUAGCUAGUAGGUGGGGUAACGGCUCACCUAGGCGACGAUCCCUAGCUGGUCUGAGAGGAUGACCAGCCACACUGGAACUGAGACACGGUCCAGACUCCUACGGGAGGCAGCAGUGGGGAAUAUUGCACAAUGGGCGCAAGCCUGAUGCAGCCAUGCCGCGUGUAUGAAGAAGGCCUUCGGGUUGUAAAGUACUUUCAGCGGGGAGGAAGGGAGUAAAGUUAAUACCUUUGCUCAUUGACGUUACCCGCAGAAGAAGCACCGGCUAACUCCGUGCCAGCAGCCGCGGUAAUACGGAGGGUGCAAGCGUUAAUCGGAAUUACUGGGAGUAAAGCGCACGCAGGCGGUUUGUUAAGUCAGAUGUGAAUCCCCGGGCUCAACCUGGGAACUGCAUCUGAUACUGGCAAGCUUGAGUCUCGUAGAGGGGGGUAGAAUUCCAGGUGUAGCGGUGAAAUGCGUAGAGAUCUGGAGGAAUACCGGUGGCGAAGGCGG